GUUUGACGCUACAGACGUGACGACGCCAUAGCGGGAGUGCACAAAGCUACUUGUGAAAGCAGUGACCAGCCAUGUAACACAUCAGCUUAUUGUCCACUCACACAUCCACAGGGAGUAGAGACGCUUGACAGUGGUCCGAUGAAGGUCUGGGAUGUCAUUCUCAAAAUCUUGGUGGAAACAUGGCUUCAGCGGUAUAAAGCGAGGAAGCGGAGGGAAGUUGUUUUCUUUUUCUUAGGAAAGUAAUAAAAUUAAAAAGAUUGGAAUUCUACAGCAGGCAAGAAAUAACUACACUACUAGGACAAGACACCAAAGUACAAGGGAAGAUAGACCAAAGAUAUGCAAAAGAUUGGGAUAAAAAUCUAAUUAACCCAUGUAACAGAUUUCAGUCAUAGAGGCCCAAUCAUGUAAGGUCAUAAAUUUCAGCCUAUUUGACCAACUUGUCUGAAAAAUCUUCAUGUGGACAGCAUAUGUUGGACAUCGUGCUUACAAGUAAUUUCUGUGUGAUUGCCUUUGGACUGACUGCUCAUAUGAAUACCAUGGAAAUUGCUACCACGGAGUUCUAAAUAAGUCUCACGUGGAUUCCAUGUUUGCAUCCGCAUCAGAUCUGGUUUUUCCAGUCUGAUAAUAUUUGCAGUGUGCUGUUAUUUUACUGUAAAUAAAAUGGGAACCUGUUUUUUUUUA